rnacentral:rRNA from 1 species
GAUGAACGCUAGCUACAGGCUUAACACAUGCAAGUCGAGGGGCAUCAGGAAGGAAGCUUGCUUUCUUCGCUGGCGACCGGCGCACGGGUGAGUAACACGUAUCCAACCUGCCGAUGACUCGGGGAUAGCCUUUCGAAAGAAAGAUUAAUACCCGAUGGCAUAGUUCUUCCGCAUGGUAGAACUAUUAAAGAAUUUCGGUCAUCGAUGGGGAUGCGUUCCAGUAGCUUGUUGGCGGGGUAACGGCCCACCAAGGCAGCGAUGGAUAGGGGUUCUGAGAGGAAGGUCCCCCACAUUGGAACUGAGACACGGUCCAA